UACGUAGGUGGCAAGCGUUGUCCGGAUUUACUGGGCGUAAAGGGUGCGUAGGCGGAUAUUUAAGUCAGAUGUGAAAUACCCGAGCUUAACUUGGGUGCUGCAUUUGAAACUGGAUAUCUAGAGUGUGGGAGAGGAAAGUGGAAUUCCUAGUGUAGCGGUGAAAUGCGUAGAGAUUAGGAAGAACACCAGUGGCGAAGGCGACUUUCUGGACCAUAACUGACGCUGAGGCAUGAAAGCGUGGGGAGCAAACAGG
rnacentral:rRNA from 1 species